ACCAUAAGCAUCCAUUUCUCUUGGCUGCAUAAACACACGUGGAACUGCUGGAUUAGGGUACGCUCCUUUCGUAGAUACUCCAAACUGUUUUUUAAAAUUGUUAGAAUUUACAUUCCAGCAACAGGGUAGGAUUCUGUUACUCCACAUCCUCGCCAACAUUUGUUACAAACUGCAGACUGCCAGUGAGUUUUCGACUUUGCUCGAGUUUUGCUCACUCCGCCGCCACUAGGUCAUCUGGUCAAGAGAAUGAAGUGUGCGUCUAGGGCGGGCCGAAUCCUGGGAGUAUUCUGGAAGUCUGAGCGCUGUGUAACUUACGCAGGCUUCCUCGGCCAGUGUCUUUGCGCUGUAGUCCACGCCCUGGGAGCUCCUGCAGGCAGCUAGUCCCGCCGCCGCACACCCGGGUCCCUGGGGGGCGCCGGCAUCUCAGAGCGGCCGCCCCCCAGCAACCAGCCGGGACCCGGAGGCGGCGGGAGGGCGCCGGGCGGCGCGGAGCAUGCGCAGACCCAGCGCGGCGCAUGCUCUGCAGCGCGGCGGGCCCGCGGGUGAGAUGAGUAGAGGUUUCCGCGCCCUGCUGUCCUCGGCUGAGCGAUUGCUGAGAUGCUUGUUCUGAAACUUGGCUGCCAAUAAAGUUCACUUAAAAAAUCGUAGUCAUUCUUAAAAGAGAGAAAAAGGCUGCGAUCCAGGCGGGCGGCCCCGCCAGGAGGUCGCGGAGACGGCGGCGGUGGCGAUUGCGCCGCGGCCGGGAGGAGCCGGCGGCGUCUGGCGGUGGGUCCGCGGCCGGCUGGAGACGAUUUAAGAGGGAAGAUCUGAUCACCUGGAAUUAAAUUUGGUACAGAAACCUUUUCAACUCCAAAAAUGUUGGAGGAAGAUAUAGAAGUGGCCAUCAAGAUGGUGGUUGUAGGGAACGGAGCAGUUGGAAAAUCAAGUAUGAUUCAGCGAUACUGCAAAGGCAUUUUUACAAAAGACUACAAGAAAACCAUCGGAGUUGAUUUUUUGGAGCGACAAAUCCAAAACUGAUGCUUGACUCAGGAUUUCCGUCCACUACAGGCAUACCUUGGAGAUAUGCAGUUAAGUGGAUACUGCAAUUAA